rnacentral:rRNA from 1 species
GUAAGGUAUUGGCUUACCGUGGCAGUGACGGUUAACGGGGGAUUAGGGUUCAAUUCCGGAGAGGGAGCCUGAGAAACGGCUACCACAUCUAAGGAAGGCAGCAGGCGCGCAAAUUACCCAAUUCUAACAGCAUAAGAGAGGUAGUGACAAGAAAUAACAGUACAAGGCAGUUAAAAUGCUUUGUAAUUGGAAUGAUAGAAAUUUAAAUACUUUUUAAAGUAUCAAUUGGAGGGCAAGUCUGGUGCCAGCAGCCGCGGUAAUUCCAGCUCCAAUAGCGUAUAUUAAAAUUGUUGCAGUUAAAAAGCUCGUAGUUGAAUUUUUGCUAAAAAUAACCGGUCUGCUUUUAUUAAUAAAAGUGGUAUCUUGGUGUGUUUUUAGCAAUAAUGUCCUUUGAAAUGUUUUUUACUUUAUUGUAAAAAGCAAUUUUCAGGAUUUUUACUUUGAGAAAAUUAGAGUGUUUCAAGCAGGCUAACGUUUUGAAUACUGCAGCAUGGAAUAAUAAAAUAGGAUUUUAGUUCUACGUUAUUGGUUUUAAGAACUAAAUUAAUGAUUGAUAGGAGCAGUUGGGGGCAUUUGUAUUUAACU